rnacentral:lncRNA from 1 species
AUCACAGCUGGCACCAUUUGAAAAGAUUAUUCCAGUGAAGAGCUGAGCAAUCUCCCUUUUCUGGACAAAUUUCAUUUUGAAAAGUUCACUGUUUUUUCAGAAAGGACUGUGUUAACCUGGAAGAUUUCAGAAGUCACCCUCAUGUUCACUAUUGCAACCAUCUCACUUCCCUUUGAAAGGAGGGAGAUACCCUGGAAGAUUUGAGAAGUGGCCCUCUCAUUCACAAAUGUCCUCAGGAUUAUUCCCAGGAAGAGCUGAGCAAUCUUUCUCUUGUGGACAAAUUUCCUUUUGACAAGCUCACUGUUUCUUUUGAAAGGUGAGUUUCCAGAUUUGCAUGUGUUUCAGAAAUUUGAAUAGCUUAUGUCUGGGGCCUUAAGUCAG